rnacentral:rRNA from 1 species
CCUACGGGAGGCAGCAGUGGGGAAUAUUGCGCAAUGGGCGAAAGCCUGACGCAGCGACGCCGCGUGAGGGAUGAAGGUCUUCGGAUCGGAAACCUCUGUCAGCAGGGGAGAACGGUCACUGUGCUAAUCAGCAGUGAAUUGACGGUACCUGCAAAGGAAGCACCGGCUAACUCCGUGCCAGCAGCCGCGGUAAUACGGAGGGUGCGAGCGCUAAUCGGAAUUACUGGGCGGAAAGCGCUCGUAGGCGGUAUGUCAAGUCAAGGGGGAAAUAGCCGCGCCCAACGCGGGGAGUGCCUUUGAAACUGGCGAACUGGAGAGUGUGAGAGGAUAGUGGAAU